ACCGAGUACUUGUUACAUGAAUAUGGCUGGAGGGGAGCAACAUGGAUUAUUUCUGCUUUGAUCUUUAACGGAGCAUUUUUCGCCAUUUUCUAUCGACCAUUACCAAAGCCAACAACCAAAGAGCCAGCUGAGGUCGCCAAGAACAAUCCAAUCUAUAGAGAUCCAUCACUCAAAGCCAAAGGAUCUACAGUAACACCAGUCCUCUUG
rnacentral:sRNA from 1 species